GGGGUAAAGGCUCACCAAGGCAACGAUCAGUAGCGGGUCUGAGAGGAUGAUCCGCCACACUUGGGACUGAGACACGGCCCAGACUCCUACGGGAGGCAGCAGUGGGGAAUUUUGGACAAUGGGCGCAAGCCUGAUCCAGCCAUGCCGCGUGUCUGAAGAAGGCCUUCGGGUUGUAAAGGACUUUUGUCCGGGAGCAAAUCCCAGUGGUUAAUACCUACUGGGGCUGAGAGUACCGGAAGAAUAAGCACCGGCUAACUACGUGCCAGCAGCCGCGGUAAUACGUAGGGUGCAAGCGUUAAUCGGAAUUACUGGGCGUAAAGCGUGCGCAGGCGGUUGUGCAAGUCUGAUGUGAAAGCCCCGGGCUUAACCUGGGAACGGCAUUGGAGACUGCACGACUAGAGUGCGUCAGAGGGGGGUAGAAUUCCGCGUGUAGCAGUGAAAUGCGUAGAGAUGCGGAGGAAUACCGAUGGCGAAGGCAGCCCCCUGGGAUGACACUGACGCUCAUGCACGAAAGCGUGGGGAGCAAACAGGAUUAG
rnacentral:rRNA from 1 species